rnacentral:rRNA from 1 species
UACGUAGGGUGCAAGCGUUGUCCGGAAUCAUUGGGCGUAAAGAGCGUGUAGGCGGCCCGGUAAGUCUGUUGUGAAAGUCCAGGGCUCAACCCUGGAAUGCCGAUGGAUACUGCCGGGCUAGAGUUCGGAAGAGGCGAGUGGAAUUCCUGGUGUAGCGGUGGAAUGCGCAGAUAUCAGGAGGAACACCUAUAGCGAAGGCAGCUCGCUGGGACGACACUGACGCUGAGACGCGAAAGCGUGGGGAGCGAACAGG